GCGAAAGCCUGACGCAGCAACGCCGCGUGAGUGAUGAAGGUCUUCGGAUCGUAAAGCUCUUUCGACCGGGACGAAACUGGCGAGGUGAACAGCCUCGUCCUUGACGGUACCGGGAGAAGAAGCACCGGCUAACUCUGUGCCAGCAGCCGCGGUAAUACAGAGGGUGCAAGCGUUGUUCGGAAUUAUUGGGCGUAAAGCGCGUGUAGGCGGUGGCGUAUGUCGGGUGUGAAAGCCCUCGGCUUAACCGAGGAAGUGCGCCCGAAACUACGUCGCUAGAGUGCCGGAGAGGGUGGCGGAAUUCCGGGUGUAGAGGUGAAAUUCGUAGAUAUCCGGAGGAACACCAG
rnacentral:rRNA from 1 species